rnacentral:misc_RNA from 1 species
GAGGGACUUUGAUCUUCUGGCACCAGAUACAUUUGUCAAUGAUACAAUUAUUGAUUUCUACAUAAUGUAUUUAAAGAACAAAAUUCCACCAGAAAAGAGGCAACGAUACCAUUUCUUUAACUGUUUCUUCUUUCGAAAGUUGGCUGAUAUGGAUAAAGAUCCAAACAGUGCAUUUGAUGGCCAUGCUGCUUUUUUGCGUGUUCGUAAGUGGACAAGGAAAGUGAACUUAUUUGAUAAGGACUUUAUAUUCAUUCCGGUGAAUUACAAUUAUCAUUGGAGUCUGAUCGUCAUAUGCCAUCCUGGUGAAGUGGCUAACUUUACAGAUGAUGAUACU